GCCCGGUUAGCUCAAUCGGUAGAGCGUGAGACUCUUAUGAUUCUCGUGAAAACAAGAUGAAAAGAAAUCUCAAGGUUGCGGGUAAGUCCUCUAGAUAUAAAAAAUUCUUGGGAGGGUCAAACUUGUGCUAACCCUCUUCCAUAGGUUCGACCCCCGCAUCGGGCU